GAUCCUGCCAGUAGUCAUAUGCUUGUUUCAAAGACUAAGCCAUGCAUGUCUAAGUCCAAGCUGUGUGUUGUUGGUGCAAGCCUUCACACGCGGCGAAACCGCGGACGGCUCAUUAAAUCAGUCGUGGUCCAAAUGGGCCAGAGUUAUCUUACUUGGAUAACUGUGGUAAUUCCAGAGCUAAUACAUGCAACUGAAAGUCCGAACGACACGCAUGCUCACGUGUGUGUGUUGUGACGGCUGCUUUUAUUAGACCAAACCGCUGAGGGGUCUUCUUGUAAGACCCUGUAGACUCGUGUUGUGGUGACUCUGGAUAACACACCUUUUGACAAGCGCACGUAUCCAUUAGUUUGGGACGGCGCUGCCACUUUCGAGUGUCUGCCUUAUCAGCUAUGUAUCGUUCGUUAUGUGCGACCGAUGGCUUUGACGGGUAACGGGGAAUCAGGGUUCGAUUCCGGAGAGGCAGCCUGAGAAACGGCUACCACGUCCAAGGACGGCAGCAGGCACGCAAAUUACCCAAUCCCAGCAACUGGGGGAGGUAGUGACGAAAUCUAACGAUGCGGGCGCCCCUUCUGGGGCCCCGCAAUCGGAAUGAGCACAUCUCUUUCUAAACACCCUGUUGAGAACCUACUGAAGGGCAAGUCUGGUGCCAGCAGCCGCG
rnacentral:rRNA from 1 species